GACGAACGCUGGCGGCGUGCUUAACACAUGCAAGUCGAACGGAAAGGCCCUGCUUUUGUGGGGUGCUCGAGUGGCGAACGGGUGAGUAACACGUGAGUACCUGCCCUUGACUUUUGGAUAACUUCAGGAAACUGGGGCUAAUACCGGAUAGGAGCUCCUGCUGCAUGGUGGGGGUUGGAAAGUUUCGGCGGUUGGGGAUGGACUCGCGGCUUAUCAGCUUGUUGGUGGGGUAGUGGCUUACCAAGGCUUUGACGGGUAGCCGGCCUGAGAGGGUGACAGGCCACAUGGGGACUGAGAUACGGCCCAGACUCCUACGGGAGGCAGCAGUGGGGAAUAUUGCACAAUGGGCGGAAGCCUGAUGCAGCAACGCCGGGUGCGGGAUGACGGCCUUCGGGUUGUAAACCGCUUUAGCCUGUGACGAAGCGGGAGUGACGGUAAUGGGUAAAGAAGCACCGGCUAACUACGUG
rnacentral:rRNA from 1 species